GGAAGAAGGACCUCUGCUAUUUGGCCCCUGAAAACCAAGAGGUGGACUGUGACAGGAAGGACCUCUGCUAUUUGGCCUAUGAAAACAAAGAGGUGGACUGAGACAGGAAGGAGAACCUCUGCUAUUUGGCCCCUGAAAACCAAGAGGU